CUGACAGACAAGAACGGAUUGACCUAAAAAUAAGACAUAAAGGCAACAUCCUUCGUUUGUUUACCUUAUCUCUGAGUUAUUUUUAUUACGAAAUGCAAAAUGUAGUCUUGUCCUAGGUCUGAUCCGCUCAGUUUGUUUCUGCAGGAGUCGUUUAGUAACUGUGGGUGGAGUUUUCCAAGUAGGAAACUGGAAUCUGCAGAACAGUUCUGUUGACCAUAAAAGAAUCUGGGAAGAUGCCUGCAAGCUUGAGCCCAGUCUACAGCUUGCCCGGAUAGUAGAGGACUGGACUGGUCUCAGGCCCGCAUGCAGCAAAGUUAAACUGGAGAGAGAGACCAUUAGACCAUUUGGUCCACACGCAUUUGAGGUCAUCCAUAACUACGGACAUGGAAGUUUUCCACCGUAGAUGUGCUGAAGAAGCUGCUCGGCUGUUUGGACAGAUCCUGGAGCAGAAAGGCUUGCUAGCACACUCAAAUCACGCCUGUAAUAAUAGAUAUGGGCUUCUGGAUAGUGUUAUGCAUAAUCUCAUCAGACUUCAAUCAGCAAUAUUAUCCUUAUUCUUUUAACCACUGUCACACUGAUUCCAAAAUAAUGGAUUCCAUGAGUUUAAGAAUCCUACUGUGAUGUAAAUGUUAAUUUAUAAUUUUGUAUAUAUAUACUCUUAUAAUAAAAAUAAAAGAUGACACAUUAUAACAGAACUGAAUU